CUAAGGUUGCAAGAGAUUGUGGGCCGGCUGGAAUUCAAAACUGCCUAGGCUUACUUAACUCGAAGCUCACCUUCUUUCAACUUAAUCGUGCAGAAAUGGGAGGCUUUUCUAACACAGAUUUUCUUGUUUUCGGGCCCAGUCAUUGUCCCACCUACUUCCCUAGCCAUCAUGUCUCCCUGGGUUAAUGCGAGUCGGGGUGCCACCUCUUGAGCUUUUUCUCUGCGAUCUCAGUGGUUGCUUCUUUAUAGAGUUUAGGCAACAAGAGUUACUUACUGCUAGUUAAAUUGAAAUAUCUUUUUUUUUUUAAGCGAUUCUUUUGAAAUUUUUUCAUAGAGUGCUUUGAAUUUAAAUAGGAUUCCACAGAGACGUUCUGGCACAACUGACUAAAUGAAAGAUUCAAGUAAAAUUUAACCAAAAUAUGGAGAAGAAACAGACGCUGCCAGUUCUGAGCAUUUUCUCAGAAGAAUUGGGGCCAGCACUAGCAGAAAAAGCGCUAUCUUGAUGCAAUUGACCAGAAAUUCUUACAUAGAAAUGCUUCCACAUUGCCAUCUGACUUCUCCUCCGCACGUGUAAUACUUCACAACUCCUGUCCACUCCUAACGCUUAGAAGGGACCUUGCAAAGGAGGCUUUAUUCACUUUCCGGAUAGCAUUGGGAAGCAGUGACUGCUGGUUGUUGCCAUCUCUCCAGUUUCUCAUCUGUUUAGGUGCAACUUGCUCCAUCUGUCAGCUGGGCAUGCUUCUUCUCUACAUCUGCACCCCCUGAAUGAAUGGAUUCCUCUGCUUUGCUGGAGGAAGUAUGGUAGGUGGAAGGUGCCAAACCACAGCACCCAAGCUUCACAUGUGUCUAAUAGGUCUAGUUACGUCAAAAAGACUAACUUCCCUCAGGCCUAAUCUUAACUAAUUGUCUCAGUCUGGAUCAAGUGCCCAAGUCUGUUCCAACCAACAGCGGUCAAUGGAAUGGGUCCCAUUGUACAAGCAUGAGUCAUCAGAGCUCAAUAUGGGGACAUGUUCAUGGGGCAGAGGGAGAAGCAGUGCUAUGUUUUGUGCAUAGAUGCUGGGCUGGCAACACAAUGGCUUAUGGUCAUCACACACUGGUAUACCCCUGAUCUCCUAUAUCUAACUGUCAAUUCUCAUUUAGAUGGAUUGCCAACCAUUAAAACCUUACUAGUUAUUUAUCUGAGCAUUUAUGAUAUAAUAUAUUUUUAUUAGGAGAAUUACAUAUUGUAUAACAUAUAACAGGAGUAUUAUAUAUAACAAAGCAGAAAUAUUUUUAGUAAUAAGAAAAAAGAUACUUAGACUUUAACAACAGAGACAACAUCUUAGUGUUUCCACUCCAGACUGUACAGGAAAUUCCUCAUCAAAUUUCUGAAAACCAUUCUCAGCCAUUAUCCAUUUUUUAUAGUUCUGUCAUCUCUUAGUCUUCAAACAGCAGGGAUGUCCUUUUCUAUAAAACCAUAUGAUUUUGUUGGAAUAAUGAGCUAGAAAUGGAAAUUAAUUCCAACUGGUGAUUCUAUGCUUUCCUGUAACUAAAACAUUGAAAAUAAGACUUAUCUGACCACAUGAUCCUAAAGUAAUAUAGAAAUUUCUUACAGUUACUAGUGCACUAUAGCUUGGCCAUGCUGCAAAGUUCAGUAGAAAUGACUGAUGUAUUGUUUUGUCACCUCAGAGUCAACAAUAAUUGCUGACAUUUAUAAAGUAUCUUUUAUUGCAAAAUAUGGCUAUCUUUUCUGUUGCUCAAAAUGAGUAGGCUUUUGUUCAUGAUUGUAUCCUUUAUUCUUAGAGCAGUGCCAGACAUGUAAUAGGCCCUCAAUAUUUCCGAAUAAAUCAUUGAAAAGUAUUUGGCAAGAAGGAGUCUUAUUACAGGGAUGUCACUUAAUUCCUUGAAUUCUAUGGUAGGUAGUCUCCAAAGAUGCCUGCCAUCAUUUCCUUCCUUCAGGUACAUACAUAUUCUUUCAUCCGACAAGAGGUCAAAUCUAUUUCUUCUACCUUUGUCUUUAGGCUGGUCUUGAAAUUUUCUUUGACCAAUUUAAUUUGGAGAAAGUCAACACCCUUCCAUGCUAAAAAUUCUCAAUAAACUAGGUAUUGAUGGAAUGCAACUCAAAACAAUAAGAGUUAUUUAUGACAAACCCACAGACAAUAUCAUAGUGAAUGGACAGAAGCUGGAAGCAUUCCCUUUGAAAAUCGGCACAAGACAAGGAUGCCCUCUCUCACCACUCCUAUUCAACAUAGUAUUGGAAGUUCUGGCCAGGA